rnacentral:tRNA from 1 species
GGUUCCCUAGUGUAGCGGUUAGCACGUCUGCUUUACACGCAGAAGGUCCUGGGUUCACGCCUACUGGAGCCA